CUGUAACCAAUUUAAGACGACCAGUUCCUUUCUUCAUGGGAACCUGGUGUACGCUGGCUGCAAACAGCAGUUUUCAUGAUAGAACCAUCAGCCUGCUGCCCUUAUGAGUUGCCCUACGGGACCUUGGAGACAACU
ensembl:snoRNA LOC120096378 small nucleolar RNA SNORA70